AGCGAACGCUGGCGGCAGGCUUAACACAUGCAAGUCGAGCGGGUGUAGCAAUACACCAGCGGCAGACGGGUGAGUAACGCGUGGGAACGUACCUUUUGGUUCGGAACAACCCAGGGAAACUUGGGCUAAUACCGGAUAAGCCCUUACGGGGAAAGAUUUAUCGCCGAAAGAUCGGCCCGCGUCUGAUUAGCUAGUUGGUGAGGUAAUGGCUCACCAAGGCGACGAUCAGUAGCUGGUCUGAGAGGAUGAUCAGCCACAUUGGGACUGAGACACGGCCCAAACUCCUACGGGAGGCAGCAGUGGGGAAUAUUGGACAAUGGGGGCAACCCUGAUCCAGCCAUGCCGCGUGAGUGAUGAAGGCCCUAGGGUUGUAAAGCUCUUUUGUGCGGGAAGAUAAUGACGGUACCGCAAGAAUAAGCCCCGGCUAACUUCGUGCCAGCCGCCGCGGUAACAC
rnacentral:rRNA from 1 species